rnacentral:rRNA from 1 species
CUGAAUGGCGUGGAUGGGGGAGUCGUGAUGCGUGCGGUGGUAGUGGUAAGCGGAAGUGAUGGGUGGAAGGGUGGGGUGUGCGGUUGUGGGAGUCUGGGGGGGAAGCGCCGGGCGGAACCGGGGAAGUGCGAUGGAGACGGGGAGGGUAGAGUUUGGCAGAGGGGGGUAGAAUUCCACGUGUAGCAGGGAAAUGCGUAGAGAUGUGGAGGAACACCGAGGGCGAAGGCAGCCCCCUGGGUCAAAACUGACGCUCAUGCACGAAAGCGUGGGGAGCAAACAGGAUUAGAUACCCGGGUAGUC